AAGAGGAGACCUAUCCUGUAUGUCAUCAACUUAAUUUUUCCAGUAUUUUGUUUCCUUGUGCUGGAUGUGGCAUCCUUCUUCAUAAAUGCAUCUGCAGCAGAGAAGCUGGGUUUUAAAGUGACUUUACUGCUGUCGCUUUCUGUAUUACUGCAGAUUCUUAAUGACAGACUGGCAUCUACGGUCAGUGUUAUCCCAUUAAUAGGGAUUUACUCAUGUUCAGUUUUUAUACUUAUUGGCAUAAGCAUUCUGGAGACCAUCUUGGUGAAUAUUUUGAUUGUUAAAGGAGAAAGGACCAAAUCAGCAAUUCCAAUGAAAACCAGGAGUGUUGUAAGUGGUCUGGAUGACACAGUUACCAGUGGAAAUGAGGAGUCGACAUGUACACCUGACACUGGAAAGAGGGCCUCACUGUGCUGGACCAGAGCAGCAAAAAUUAUAGAUGUAACCUUUAUUGUCCUUUACAUAAUCACUGUUAUUGUGUUUCUGACCAUUCUUGGCAAGCGUUGGUUUCUGUUGUAAUAUUCUUUUACA